GGAGCUGGAAGGUUCCCCCGGGUUCCCGGGGGCAACGAUCAGCUGCUGCACGCCCGAACCGUGCAGUUCACAGAUCAAACGCGAGUGGCCUGCGCCCGCAGGUUGAGAUAUGACCGUAGCAGCUCUGCGAGGAGUCUGACCCCCUAGUUCCGUAGGUGAACCUGCGGAAGGAUCAUUA
rnacentral:rRNA from 1 species